rnacentral:lncRNA from 1 species
AACGUAUCUCCUCCAUUUGAACUCUAAUUGGGACGUUUUUGGGCUUGUUGGACUCCGUUUUUCAUCUUAGACCUCGCUGUGGGCUCAAUAUGGAUCGAAUCUUGAGGUGUAUUUUUUAACAAUCUCCAUCUCGACUCGAUAUUCGGCCUCCAUCUGUCUCUAAGAGUCUGUGAUCCAUCUCACUCCCAUGCCCUGGGACAUGCCUGCUGUCUCAUGGAUAGGCAAACAUGAGAGUCGAGUCAGACCGC